rnacentral:rRNA from 1 species
UGUAAGCGUAUACCAAAGUUGUUGCAGUUAAAACGCUCGUAGUCGGACUUUGGCAGUUCCGGAUGUGUGCACGUCGUGUGCGCACUUCGCGGGGAUUGCUUUUGUGGUCUCGCGUAGGAUGAGGCACUUUUAUUAGUGAACGUCCUCACGCAACCACUUUUUACUGUGAGAAAAUCAGAGUGCUCAAAGCAGGCAUUUGCCGUGAAUGUAUUAGCAUGGAAUAAUAGAAUAGGACUUGGUUCUAUUUUGUUGGUUUGUUGGGACUGAGUAAUGAUUAAGAGGGACAGUUGGGGGCAUUUGUAUUUCGGUGCUAGAGGUGAAAUUCUUAGAUUACCGAAAGACAAACUGCUGCGAAAGCGUCUGCCAAGGAUGUUUUCAUUGA